rnacentral:rRNA from 1 species
AUACGGAGGAUCCGAGCGUUAUCCGGAUUUAUUGGGUUUAAAGGGAGCGUAGGCGGACGCUUAAGUCAGUUGUGAAAGUUUGCGGCUCAACCGUAAAAUUGCAGUUGAUACUGGGUGUCUUGAGUACAGUAGAGGCAGGCGGAAUUCGUGGUGUAGCGGGGAAGUGCUUAGAUAUCACGAAGAACUCCGAUUGCGAAGGCAGCCUGCUGGACUGUAACUGACGCUGAUGCUCGAAAGUGUGGGUAUCAAACAGGAUUAGAUACCCUGGUAGUCCACACAGUAAACGAUGAAUACUCGCUGUUUGCGAUAUACAGUAAGCGGCCAAGCGAAAGCGUUAAGUAUUCCACCUGGGGAGUACGCCGGCAACGGUGAAACUCAAAGGAAUUGACGGGG